AGGUGGAUUGGUAUUUGCCUAUGAUCCCAACUACUAGGAAGGCCAAGACUGGCACAUCUCUUAACACAGGAGCUCUUAGCACUGGUAGGUUAUGACCAUUGGGUGUACAUAUUAGGUUCAGCGUCAGUAUGAUGAGGUCCUGGGAGCAAGGGGUUACAAGGUUGCCUAAGAAAGGGUGAAAAUUCAGCCCAGUUUAGAAAAGGAGCUGGUCAAAGUUCCUGUGCUGAUCAGUAGUGGGAUUGCCCAGUGAAUAGCCCCUACACUUCUAGUGUGGGCAGGCUGGGGAGACUCAGUCUUUU
rnacentral:SRP_RNA from 1 species